rnacentral:lncRNA from 1 species
CCACAACCUACAGUAAGCACCCCUGGAGUCACACCACCAAGCCAACACUGUGGUAAGUAUAGGACUGUCAGAGAAAGUACAUGACACAACACAGAGAGGCUAGUUAGGUCACACACAGGACAACACAGAGGCUAGUUUAGGUCACACACAAGACAACACAGAGGCUAGUUUAGGUCACACACAGGACAACACAGAGGCUAGUUUAGGUCACACACAGGACAACACAGAGGCUAGUUUAGGUCACUAACAAGACAACACAGAGGCUAGUUUAGGUCACACACAGGACAACACAGAGGCUAGUUUAGGUCACACACAAGACAACACAGAGGCUAGUUUAGGUCACACACAGGACAACACAGAGGCUAGUUUAGGUCACACAAGACAAUAUUUGCAACAUUUGAAGAACAGACAAUGUAAGUGAACUGUGCAUGGAGGACAUUUUUCAUUAUGUGAUCCACAAGCUUUUUUUUCUGUCGCAGAAGGUUGAGUUGAGUUGGAUUCAAUUGAAUGCAAGAGCUGCCUCCUGUCUCCUGCUUCCACUAGUAUCAUUCAGAUCAGUCUAUUUUAACAGCAUGUGUCUAGUACCUACAGUACAGCAUCAGCGAACUCCAUGUCCAGGCACCAGGGAGUUAAGGGAAAAGGGUCAGUUGUACAGCUGAAUGCAUUCAACUGAAAUGUGUCUUUCUCAUUUAACCCAACCCCUUUGAAUCAAGGCACUACAGCCCUGUGUUAUUACAUAUCACUACUCUGGGUCAGUAAGUUGUACUAUGUACUGUACACUGCACAGUGCACUUAUUGUAGACUACCUUUCCUUGAAGGCCAAAAUACUGUCCCAGAGCUCUC